rnacentral:piRNA from 1 species
UGGAUUUCUUCUAGAAUCCUUUCUAAUUGUC